rnacentral:rRNA from 1 species
GACGUAGGGACGAGCGUUGUCCGGAUUCAUUGGGCGUAAAGCGCGCGUAGGCGGUUGGUAAGUCGGAUGUGAAAACCAGAGGCUCAACCUCUGGCCUGCAUCCGAUACUGCCCGACUAGAGGUAGGUAGGGGAGAUCGGAAUUCCGGGUGUAGCGGUGGAAUGCGUAGAGAUCCGGAAGAACACCGGUGGCGAAGGCGGCCCGCUGGGCAGGAAGACGACCGCAAGGUGUCGGCUGACGCUGAGGCGCGACAGCGUGGGAGCAACAGG